AUUUCCCUUUGUUUGCCCCAAGCAGAUAUCUAGUCAUAAAGCUUCCACAUUUUCCUCGUCACACUCCACAUGCCUAAGAUUUGACUUUAACUCAUGGUUGACAUACAAACAUACCCCACCACCCUUCUUGCUUGUCCUAUCCUUCCUAAAUAACGUGUACCCAUUUAAAGGACCACUAUAGGCAACCAGACCACUUCAUCUCAAUGAAGUGGUCUGGGUUCCAGGUCCAGCUAGGAUCAACC